rnacentral:rRNA from 1 species
AGUGAACGCUGGCGGUAGGCCUAACACAUGCAAGUCGAACGGCAGCACAGUAAGAGCUUGCUCUUACGGGUGGCGAGUGGCGGACGGGUGAGGAAUACAUCGGACUCUACUUUUUCGUGGGGGAUAACGUAGGGAAACUUACGCUAAUACCGCAUACGACCUACGGGUGAAAGCAGGGGAUCUUCGGACCUUGCGCGAUUGAAUGAGCCGAUGUCGGAUUAGCUAGUUGGCGGGGUAAAGGCCCACCAAGGCGACGAUCCGUAGCUGGUCUGAGAGGAUGGUCAGCCACACUGGAGGUGAGACACGGUCCAGACUCCUACGGGAGGCAGCAGUGGGGAAUAGUGGACAAUGGGCGCAAGCCUGAUCCAGCCAUACCGCGUGUGUGAAGAAGGCCUUCGGGUUGUAAAGCCCUUUUGUUGGGAAAGAAAAGCAGCAGGUUAAUACCCCGCUGUUCUGACGGUACCCAAAGAAUAAGCACCGGCUAACUUCGUG